rnacentral:rRNA from 1 species
CUACGGGUCGCACCAGUGAGGAAUAUUGCACAAUGGGGGGAACCCUGAUGCAGCAACGCCGCGUGGAGGAUGACGCAUUUCGGUGUGUAAACUCCUUUUAUAUGUCAAGAAAAUGACGGUAGCAUAUGAAUAAGCACCGGCUAACUCCGUGCCAGCAGCCGCGGUAAUACGGAGGGUGCAAGCGUUACUCGGAAUCACUGGGCGUAAAGGACGCGUAGGCGGGUUGGAAAGUCAGGUGUGAAAUCCUACAGCUUAACUGUAGAACUGCACUUGAAACUCUCAAUCUAGAGUAUGGGAGGGGCAGAUGGAAUUAGUGGUGUAGGGGUAAAAUCCGUAGAUAUCACUAGGAAUACCUAAAGCGAAGGCGAUCUGCUGGAACAUUACUGACGCUAAGGCGUGAAAGCGUGGGGAGCAAACAGGAUUAGAUACCCCUGUAGUC